rnacentral:rRNA from 1 species
AUACGGAGGGUGCGAGCGUUAAUCGGAAUUACUGGGCGUAAAGCGUGCGUAGGCGGUUGGUUAAGUUAGAUGUGAAAGCCCCGGGCUUAAUCUGGGAACUGCAUUUAAAACUGGCGAACUAGAGUUGAGUAGAGGGGAGUGGAAUUUCAGGUGUAGCGGUGAAAUGCGUAGAGAUCUGAAGGAACACCAGUGGCGAAGGCGACUCCCUGGACUCGAACUGACGCUGAGGUACGAAAGCGUGGGUAGCAAACGGGAUUAGAAACCCCAGUAGUCC